UGGGGAAUAUUGCACAAUGGGGGAAACCCUGAUGCAGCGACGCCGCGUGGAGGAAGAAGGUCUUCGGAUUGUAAACUCCUGUUGUUGAGGAAGAUAAUGACGGCACUCAACAAGGAAGUGACGGCUAACUACGUGCCAGCAGCCGCGGUAAAACGUAGGUCACAAGCGUUGUCCGGAAUUACUGGGUGUAAAGGGAGCGCAGGCGGUACGGCAAGUCUGAUGUGAAAGCCCGGGGCUCAACCCCGGUACUGCAUUGGAAACUGUCGGACUAGAGUGUCGGAGGGGUAAGUGGAAUUCCUAGUGUAGCGGUGAAAUGCGUAGAUAUUAGGGGGAACACCAGUGGCGAAGGCGGCUUACUGGACGAUCACUGACGCUGAGGCUCGAAAGCGUGGGGAGCAAACAGGAUUAGAUACCCUGGUAGU
rnacentral:rRNA from 1 species